AGCGCGAUUUUUACACCCAUUUGUUGUCAGUGAUAGUGGGCUGGUCCCGCAUACUUGUAAAGUGCGUUCUUCGUAGUUUGUGUACGUGCGAAAACGCAGCUCCGGUUCUGUUCAAACCUCAAAAAAAAAAAAAAAAACUGUAAACAAACCAAGGAAUCCCGUGUAGGCAGAGCGAUGGCUUGCAUUUUGUCUUUCAUCCUUCAAGCACGUCUUGAACUCAGGCUUCUGAACUAUUCGUGGUUAACAGGCAAACAUUAGGCGAAAGCGUUUCACAGACGACAUAAAGUGUAAAGUGGAAAUUGUGAGAAAGGGUGGAAAGAAAGUGAUGCCUGGCAAACUGCAGUCUGACCUUCAGAAAAGCAAGAACAAGAAUAUGAAGAAGAAACAGAAAGAAUCAAAAUCCAAA